rnacentral:rRNA from 1 species
CGGUAGCUAAUACCGGAUAAUUUCUUUCCUCUCCUGAAGAGAGAAUGAAAGGCGGAGCAAUCUGCCACUUGGGGAUGGGCCUGCGGCGCAUUAGCUAGUUGGUGGGGUAACGGCUCACCAAGGCGACGAUGCGUAGCCGACCUGAGAGGGUGAACGGCCACACUGGGACUGAGACACGGCCCAGACUCCUACGGGAGGCAGCAGUAGGGAAUCUUCCGCAAUGGGCGAAAGCCUGACGGAGCAAUGCCGCGUGAGUGAUGAAGGUUUUCGGAUCGUAAAGCUCUGUUGCCAGGGAAGAACGUCCGGUAGAGUAACUGCUACCGGAGUGACGGUACCUGAGAAGAAAGCCCCGGCUAACUACGUGCCAGCAGCCGCGGUAAUACGUAGGGGGCAAGCGUUGUCCGGAAUUAUUGGGCGUAAAGCGCGCGCAGGCGGUCAUUUAAGUCUGGUGUUUAAACCUUGGGCUCAACCUGGGGUCGCACUGGAAACUGGGUGACUUGAGUACAGAAGAGGAAAGUGGAAUUCCACGUGUAGCGGUGAAAUGCGUAGAUAUGUGGAGGAACACCAGUGGCGAAGGCGACUUUCUGGGCUGUAACUGACGCUGAGGCGCGAAAGCGUGGGGAGCAAACAGGAUUAGAUACCCUGGUAGUCCACGCCGUAAACGAUGAGUGCUAGGUGUUAGGGGUUUCGAUACCCUUGGUGCCGAAGUUAACACAGUAAGCACUCCGCCUGGGGAGUACGGUCGCAAGACUGAAACUCAAAGGAAUUGACGGGGACCCGCACAAGCAGUGGAGUAUGUGGUUUAAUUCGAAGCAACGCGAAGAACCUUACCAGGUCUUGACAUCCCGAUGAAAGCAUUAGAGAUAGUGCCCCUCUUCGGAGCAUCGGAGACAGGUGGUGCAUGGUUGUCGUCAGCUCGUGUCGUGAGAUGUUGGGUUAAGUCCCGCAACGAGCGCAACCCUUGACUUUAGUUGCCAGCAGGUAAGGCUGGGCACUCUAGAGUGACUGCCGGUGACAAACCGGAGGAAGGUGGGGAUGACGUCAAAUCAUCAUGCCCCUUAUGACCUGGGCUACACACGUACUACAAUGGCCGGUACAACGGGAAGCGAAACCGCGAGGUGGAGCCAAUCCCAGCAAAGCCGGUCUCAGUUCGGAUUGCAGGCUGCAACUCGCCUGCAUGAAGUCGGAAUUGCUAGUAAUCGCGGAUCAGCA